rnacentral:lncRNA from 1 species
AAAAAAAAAACAUUGCCUUCUGAUGAAUGUCAACAUAAUUUACAUUUUCCAGAAACAACCAAGAUAGAAUGACGGAAAAUCUAGAUAUUUGAAAAACAAAUAUCUGGAUUUUCAAAAUAUCUGUGACUUCAUCUUUCCAAGUUACCAUAAUUAAACCACGUUUCUUAAGGAGUCCAAAAUAAACGAAGAGUUAUUAAGUAUUCUUAAUGCCCUAAGGAGAAACAUUUGUCCUUAUGGUAGAGAUUCGGACGUAGUUUUGUACUCUUAACUGAUAAAUUGAUUUUAUUAAACCCAAAUUAUCAGCAAAAUAACUGUUAUUAGAAUCAUGUGAGAAAAUAUUUAGAAUCGAUAUCAUAUCAUGAUUGUCUCUUCAAAAAGACGAGGGGAGACCUAUUUGAAAGCUCCAAUAAUCAUAGUCAUUACGAUGAUAUUAUGUUACGUUUCUAUAUAAAACGAUUUGUAUAAAUUUACGUCUUCUUUUUGGAUAUUUUUUCUUUGGAUGGGAUCUAAAUGCUUCUUCUAAUGCCAACUUUGAAGUUUAUAUUAAUUCAUAAUUAAUGCUGGGAAUUUCUAUUAUUUAUGCUGUCAAAUAUGUAUACAUUGUAUAAGAUAAUCCAAUAUUAUUCAUCCAUUCCAUUAUUCUACAUUUAUAAUUAAUAUAUUGUACACUUAACGAAGUUUUACGUAUUUGUAAAUACAUGUUGGAAGUUUAUGCUCCUAUUUAAUUUUGUGCAUGAUGACAAGACGAACAGAUGUAUGCCAUUUCCUGUUCAGCUUUCUCCCCAAUGUCUAAUAUCUAACCGAGAAAGUUUUGAAAUGCGAUUUAACAAGAAUUCGUUAGAAAUAAAUUUUUCUUACAGUAAAUUUCAUUUUUUAAAGAUUUAUAUUCUGAUUAUUUAUAUAAGAAAUAAUUUAAAAAUGAAAGAGUCG